rnacentral:rRNA from 1 species
UACGUAGGUGGCAAGCGUUGUCCGGAAUCACUGGGCGUAAAGCGCGCGCAGGCGGCGAUCUACGUCUGGGGUGAAAGCCCGGAGCUCAACUCCGGGACUGCCUUGGAUACGGGAUCGCUUGAGGAUUGGAGAGGCAAGGGGAAUUCCACGUGUAGCGGUGAAAUGCGUAGAUAUCUGGAGGAACACCGGUGGCGAAGGCGGCAUCCUGGACCGACACUGACGCUGAGGAGCGAAAGCCAGGGGAGCAAACGGG